AGUGAACGCUGGCGGUAGGCCUAACACAUGCAAGUCGAACGGCAGCACAGUAAGAGCUUGCUCUUACGGGUGGCGAGUGGCGGACGGGUGAGGAAUACAUCGGAAUCUACUUUUUCGUGGGGGAUAACGUAGGGAAACUUACGCUAAUACCGCAUACGACCUACGGGUGAAAGCAGGGGAUCUUCGGACCUUUCGCGAUUGAAUGAGCCGAUGUCGGAUUAGCUAGUUGGCGGGGUAAAGGCCCACCAAGGCGACGAUCCGUAGCUGGUCUGAGAGGAUGAUCAGCCACACUGGAACUGAGACACGGUCCAGACUCCUACGGGAGGCAGAAGUGGGGAAUAUUGGACAAUGGGCGCAAGCCUGAUCAAGCCAUACCGCGUGGGUGAAGAAGGCCUUCGGGUUGUAAAGCCCUUUUGUUGGGAAAGAAAAGCAGCAGGUUAAUACCCCGAUGUUCUGACGGUACCCAAAGAAUAAGCACCGGCUAACUUCGUG
rnacentral:rRNA from 1 species